ACCAAAACUCACAAAGCCACUGACCAAGCCAAUAAAUAAAAACAAACAAUAGGAUAAAAAUGACAAACAAUUUCUAUGUUUUUCCCAUGAAAGUAUGUUUUAUUAUCAACAGAAAGCUCACUUUCUUAUUCCUGCUCUCUCCCAUAUAAACGCACACAAAUACAGUACAGAAACAUACUCACACACACCAAUCUUGAAUGAGUGUUUAACCUUAUCUAUCAUUCUGUCUUUUUUUCUCCUUCUUUGUUGUGUUAAAUCUAGCUUUCAUUUAUUAUUGUUAAAAAGUGACUUUUUAAAAUUAUUUAAUGUUCCUCUGUUUAUUAGUGAUGAGAUCACAUUCUUUCUGUUAUGGCAAACUGGUUUCUCAUAUAUAAAAAACCCCAAAGGAAAGUGACAGGGUGGAUACGAAUACAGCAGCCCACGUUGCCUGGUCCACAACACACACAGGGGUUAAGUUGGGCUUACGCUGUUAAAUAAUUAGACUUUCCUCGUAUAUUUUUAACAAUAUCAGCUAUAUAUUUAGCCAUUUCUUGUUCCUACUAAUUCAAGCUAUGAUUCAAACAUUAGUAGCAGAUAAUAAAUAAGGUAAUGUUUACAAGCUUACAUCAGAGCUUCAACAAAUCUUCGUUAAUGUCAUUGACAGGACAAAACUUGUAAGUCACACCUUCUGAUGAUCCGAUCUCAACGUGUUAGAGGUUAAAGAUGCGUUAGUCACUACUGAUUCAUUACUUAUAUAUAUAUAUAUAUAUAUAUAUAUAGCUAGAAACAUGCAGGCUACCUGUUUGAAGCCACAGGGUGAGAUUUGUGAAGCAAGAGCCUAUGCUUUUGAAAUGGUUUUAGGGUUUUAGGCUUGAAUUUUGGCACCAGAUUGUGUGUAUUGCAUAUCAUUUUACUCAUUCCCAUUCUCAUAUCUGCAAUACUAUAACACAACUUGAAUGAGUAAACUUUCUUCACACAACAGUUCAUAUGAAAGACAUGUUCACAGUUGUAUAUAGUUAAGACAUAGAAAUUAGUACAGAACUGUUUGGAGAAGUUUAAAACUCCCAAGUCACUACAUGUAAUAGAUAGACAGACAUAUUAGACAGAUAGAUAUAAUUUCCUCUUAACACAGUAAUAUGUGUUGUCUCUAAACAGUGCAAAUUUAUUGGUAGAUGAAGAUUUCUUCAUAAAAAUGUUACACAUGGAUUGGGUGUAAGCACAGUCAAGAAUGAAAAUCACUGUUUGGCAAGUAGUAACAAACCUAUAAAUUUGUCAUUCAAUGAAAAGAAAUAAAAAUAAUAAUAAUAACAAAAAUGCAUACCAACAUCAAGCUUAUAAUGAGCUGUUGUUGUCAUUUAAAUUUUUAUAUAGGCCUAUCUAUCUAUCUAUCUAUCUAUCUAUCUAUCUAUCUAUCUAUAUAUAUAUAUAUAUAUAUAUAUAUAUAUAUAUAUAUAUAUAUAUAUAUAUAUAUAUGUAUAUGUAGGAAUUAACCUUGUCUUCUCAAGAAUUAGGAAAAAAGUCAUUAACCUGUUUUUGAACAAACUAUUACAAUUAAAUGUUAAAAGCACCUUUGAGCUAUAGUAUAUAAAGGUCCCUGAAACCAGUCAAACUAUUAAAACAUGGAACAGAAAUUGAAAUAGACCAUAGAAUAUAGAAAAUACAGUACGAUUAAAAAAUUGCUCACUGGGACAUGCAGUGCAAUGUAAAAUAUAUAAAAUUAAAACUGCCAGGCAAUUUAAAAAUUUAAGGGUUAAAAGAGAACUAUAAAAAUAAUGUUUCACAUUUGUUUCUAAUUUUUAACAUUUUUAUAUUAGCUAUACAAACCUAAAAACUAAAAUUAACUGACUGAUUAAAUAGCUUAAAAGAAUAAUUCUCCCAAAACUGAAAAUUUUCUGUUAAUUUACUCACCCUCAGACCAACCAAGAUGUAGGCGCCUUUUUUUUUUUCUUGAGUAGAACUGUAAAGGUGAUGUCUGGCUUCUAGCCUAUUUCUUUUUGGUGAACUAGUUGAACCAGUUCACCAGAUCGGACUGAAUCAUCAGUUCAUGACUUGAGCAACACUGAUCUACAAGUUACUCAAUCAAAACUCACUUUCAGACUUGCUUUACAGACACACCCACUUAAAAUGAGCCAAAAUACCAUACACGUUCCUAUGAUGCUUGUUUUGGCCAGCUCAUUCAGUGCCCCAGUUACUCUAACAGUACACUGCAAUGAGGAAACAGUUCUGACUCAGAAGACCGGUUAUACGUGCAUGUAUGAACCAAGCACUUGAAUGAAGGGGCAAAAUUAAAGUUUUUAUAGUUUCUCUUUGUUUAUUUAAAAAGGUGAGCUGAUGAAGACCAGUUCACUUAUUCACUUUAUAUGCUAUAGCAAAACAUCCAUAAUUCACAUCAUUACUGGGUGCUUUAAUAAUAUGAUUUCGUAUAGCAUAUGUUUCGUCAUCGCAUGAUUACGUAAACUAAGUAGUGAACUGAACCAAUUCAUAGAAAAAAAAAAACAAUUGUCUGAAAGAGCCAGUACAUGGAAAAGAAUCAGAUUUAUGCGGAUUACAGGUUAUAAUGUUGUAAAUAAUAUUCAGUUUCUUGCACAGAACGAUCAUUUAAUUUUAUAAGACCUCAAUAUAUAUAUCAUGAGGAGCCACGGGUAUUAAUUUUGUCUUCCUUGAUAUGCUCUUCUUUUUUUUUAUUCUCAACGACGGGCAGCCGUUGACUCGAAUUUUAUGAAUAACCAAAGACCAAAGUUUCAGCUAAAAAUCUUAUUUACUGUUCAACUCAAAGAAAAAAAUAAAAAACGGUCACCUACAUCUUGGAUGGCUUGAGGGUGAGUACACUGACAGCAAAUUCUAUUUUUUGGUUGAACUAUCCCCUUUGCACACUCCAAACAGGCUCAAUCCAUUAUUGGGAUGAAAUAAAAAUAACCAAUGAGACAAAACAUGUGGCGCCUCUGCAAUAAAGCUGUGUAAUGCUACAGUAACAGAGACUUUAGAAGCCUGUCUUAAGGGAGUAUAGGUUCUUAGCUUUCAAAUAUAGUGGCCCUUCACACACAGGGUCAUUUAGCAUUAACGGUGGAUAAAAAUUCUUUCCGGACAAAAAUCUCAUAACAACCAGCAUGCUUUGAAUUUGGUUUGAAAUGAUUGGAAAUAGACCUCAAUCCAUAUUUCUAUCUCUUCUUUUGGUAACAUACAGCAUAGAACAUGUGCAUGUCAGAGGUUAGGUCAACAUGGUGAGAGAGAAGCUUGUACUUCCUAUCAUGGUUUUCCUCCCAAAG
ensembl:lncRNA